rnacentral:lncRNA from 1 species
GCACAAGAAGAUAAUUGAAAAUGAGUUGGAAGGCUUUGGGAUUCGUUUGAACAGCAAACCCCCCAACAUUGGCUUUAAGAAGAAAGACAAGGGAGGCAUUAAUCUCACAGCCACUUGUCCUCAGAGUGAACUAGAUGCUGAAACGGUGAAGAGCAUUCUGGCUGAAUAUAAAAUUCAUAAUGCUGAUGUAACUUUGCGUAGUGAUGCCACAGCUGAUGACCUCAUCGACGUGGUUGAAGGAAACAGAGUUUAUAUUCCCUGUAUCUAUGUAUUAAAUAAGAUUGAUCAGAUCUCCAUUGAGGAGUUGGAUAUUAUAUAUAAGGUGCCUCACUGUGUACCCAUCUCUGCUCAUCACCGCUGGAAUUUUGAUGACCUUUUGGAGAAGAUCUGGGACUAUCUGAAACUAGUGAGAAUUUACACUAAACCCAAAGGCCAGUUACCAGAUUACACGUCUCCAGUAGUCCUGCCUUAUUCUAGGACCACGGUGGAAGAUUUCUGCAUGAAGAUUCACAAAAAUCUGAUCAAAGAAUUUAAAUAGUAAGAAUCAUGGGCAUGUGUUGUCUCCUUUUCUUACGAGUUCCUGAUUUCAUUAAUAGUACUAAUUCUUAGAGGAGGAUUAAAGAAACCAGGUAAC